rnacentral:rRNA from 1 species
AGAGUUUGAUCAUGGCUCAGGACGAACGCUGGCGGCGUGCUUAACACAUGCAAGUCGAACGGAAAGGCCCUUCGGGGUACUCGAGUGGCGAACGGGUGAGUAACACGUGGGUGAUCUGCCCUGCACUCUGGGAUAAGCCUGGGAAACUGGGUCUAAUACCGGAUAGGACCGCAUGCUUCAUGGUGUGUGGUGCAAAGCUUUUGCGGUGUGGGAUGAGCCCGCGGCCUAUCAGCUUGUUGGUGGGGUAAUGGCCUACCAAGGCGACGACGGGUAGCCGGCCUGAGAGGGUGACCGGCCACACUGGGACUGAGAUACGGCCCAGACUCCUACGGGAGGCAGCAGUGGGGAAUAUUGCACAAUGGGCGCAAGCCUGAUGCAGCGACACCGCGUGAGGGAUGACGGCCUUCGGGUUGUAAACCUCUUUCAGUAGGGACGAAGCGAAAGUGACGGUACCUACAGAAGAAGGACCGGCCAACUACGUGCCAGCAGCCGCGGUAAUACGUAGGGUCCGAGCGUUGUCCGGAAUUACUGGGCGUAAAGAGCUCGUAGGUGGUUUGUCGCGUUGUUCGUGAAAACUCACAGCUUAACUGUGGGCGUGCGGGCGAUACGGGCAGACUAGAGUACUGCAGGGGAGACUGGAAUUCCUGGUGUAGCGGUGGAAUGCGCAGAUAUCAGGAGGAACACCGGUGGCGAAGGCGGGUCUCUGGGCAGUAACUGACGCUGAGGAGCGAAAGCGUGGGUAGCGAACAGGAUUAGAUACCCUGGUAGUCCAA